rnacentral:rRNA from 1 species
GAUGAACGCUGGCGGCGUGCCUAAUACAUGCAAGUCGAGCGGACGGACGCGGAUCUUGCUUCUCUCUUGUUUGCGGAGCACGUGUGAGUAACGCGUGGAUAACCUCCCUAUAAGACUGGUAUCACUUCGGGAAACCGGCGCUUAUACCGGAUAAUAUUUUGAUCCGCAUGGUUCGAAAGUGAGAGUCGGUCUUGCUGUCACUUCUAGAUGGUUCCGCGCUGCAUUGGCUAGUUGGUAAGUUAAAGGCUUAUCAAGGCAAGGAUGCGUAGCCGACGGAAGAGGGUGAUAGGCGACAGUGGAGCGUAGCCGCGGACAAGACCCCUGCGGGAGGGAGCAGUAGGGAACCUGCGGCAGUGGGCGAAAACCUGACAGAGCGACGCCGAGUGAGUGAUGAAGAUCUUCGGAUCGUAAAACUCUGUUAUGAGGGAAAAACAGAUGUGUAAGUAAAUGUGCACAGCUUGACGGUAACUAAUCAGGAAGCAACGGCUAACUACGUG